rnacentral:rRNA from 1 species
AUUGAACGCUGUCGGCAGGCCUAACACAUGCAAGUCGAGCGAGCGACGUACGGGUGAGUAAUGUAUGGGGACUGCCCGAUAGAGGUUGAUAACUACUGGUAACGGUAGCUCAUACCGCAUACUAUCGGAUAACCCAUAUGUGAUUAGCUAGUAGGUGAGGUACUGGCUCACCUAGGCGACGAUCCCUAGCUGGUCUGAGAGGAUGAUCAGCCACACUGGGACUUGGACACGGCCCAGACUCCUACGGAGGCAGCAGUGGGGAAUAUUGAACAAUGGGCGCAAGCCUGAUGCAGCCAUGCCGCGUGUAUGAAGAAGGCCCUAGGGUUGUAAAGUACUUUCAGUCGGGAGGCGUUACCGACAGAAGAAGCACCGGCUAACUCCGUGCCAGCAGCCGCGGUAAUUC